rnacentral:lncRNA from 1 species
ACAUCUCUCACGAUAAAUGAGUGGGGAGAACUUAUAGCCCUUGAAGUCAACCAUCUCACACCUUUCCAAAGGACGCGACCAUAACUCUAAAAGGCCCGGAGGCUGUUUGAUGUCCUGCACGAGCCCUUCUUGAAAGUACCCUGAUGACCCCAGCUGCCAAGGAAACCCCCAGUGUAAUAAUAAAUCGUCCUCCCAGGCCAGGCUC